GGAAGGUUGGUGGCAGGCGUCGUGCUCGCCAACCGGGUCAGGACCGGAAGGUAGCAGCCCCAACGAGAUUUUGACGGGUUGCCGUCCAGCCUUCCACC
rnacentral:SRP_RNA from 1 species